rnacentral:rRNA from 1 species
UAAAAACCCCGACUUCGGAAGGGGUGUAUUUAUUAGAUACAAAACCAAUGCCCUUCGGGGCUCUUUGGUGAUUCAUGAUAACUAUACGAAUCGCACGGCCUUGCGCCGGCGAUGGUUCAUUCAAAUCUCUUCCCUAUCAACUUUCGAUGUUUGGGUAUUGGCCAAACAUGGUUGCAACGGGUAACGGAGGGUUAGGGCUCGACCCCGGAGAAGGAGCCUGAGAAACGGCUACUACAUCCAAGGAAGGCAGCAGGCGCGCAAAUUACCCAAUCCCGACUCGGGGAGGUAGUGACAAUAAAUACUGAUACAGGGCCCUUUCGGGCCUUGUAAUUGGAAUGAGUACAAUUUAAAUCCCUUAACGAGGAACAAUUGGAGGGCAAGUCUGGUGCCAGCAGCCGCGGUAAUUCCAGCUCCAAUAGCGUAUAUUAAAGUUGUUGUGGUUAAAAAGCUCGUAGUUGAACCUUGGGCCUGGCUGGCCGGUCCGCCUCACCGCGUGCACUGGUCCGGCCGGGCCUUUCCCUCUGUGGAACCCCAUACCCUUCACUGGGCGUGGCGGGGAAACAGGACAUUUACUUU